AUUGAACGCUGGCGGCAUGCCUUACACAUGCAAGUCGAACGGCAGCACGGGUGCUUGCACCUGUUGGCGAGUGGCGAACGGGUGAGUAAUACAUCGGAACAUGUCCUUUAGUGGGGGAUAGCCCGCCGAAAGCCGGAUUAAUACCGCAUACGAUCUACGGAUGAAAGCGGGGGGCCUUCGGGCCUCGCGCGAUAGGGUUGGCCGAUGGCUGAUUAGCUAGUUGGGGGGGUAAAGGCCUACCAAGGCGACGAUCAGGAUCUGGUCUGAGAGGACGACCAGCCACACUGGGACUGAGCCACGGCCCAGACUCCUACGGGAGGCAGCAGUGGGGAAUGUUGGACAAUGGGCGAAAGCCUGAUCCAGCAAUGCCGCGUGUGUGAAGAAGGCCUUCGGGUUGUAAAGCACUUUUGUCCGGAAAGAAAUCCUUGGCCCUAAUACGGUCGGGGGAUGACGGUACCGGAAGAAUAAGCACCGGCUAACUACGUG
rnacentral:rRNA from 1 species